UACGUAGGAGGCUAGCGUUGUUCGGAAUUACUGGGCGUAAAGGGCUCGUAGGCGGCCAACUAAGUCAGACGUGAAAUCCCUCGGCUUAACCGGGGAACUGCGUCUGAUACUGGAUGGCUUGAGAUUGGGAGAGGGAUGCGGAAUUCCAGGUGUAGCGGUGAAAUGCGUAGAUAUCUGGAGGAACACCGGUGGCGAAGGCGGCAUCCUGGACCAACACUGACGCUGAGGAGCGAAAGCCAGGGGAGCAAACGGG
rnacentral:rRNA from 1 species